rnacentral:rRNA from 1 species
UGGCUCAGGACGAACGCUGGCGGCGUACUUCAUACAUGCAAGUCGAACGAGAAUCUUACUUCGGUAAGAGGAAAGUGGCGGACGGGUGAGUAAUAUGUAGAGAAUCUGCCCUUAAGCGGGGGACAACAGUUGGAAACGACUGCUAAUACCCCAUAUGAGCGUGCCUGAAAUGGUAUUCUUGAAAACUCCGGUGCUUAAGGAUGAGUCUGCAUCUGAUUAGCUAGUUGGGGGUGUAAUGGACCACCAAGGCGACGAUCAGUAGCUGGUUUGAGAGGAUGAUCAGCCACAAUGGGACUGAGACACGGCCCAUACUCCUACGGGAGGCAGCAGUAGGGAAUUUUGCGCAAUGGGCGAAAGCCUGAACGCAGCAACGCCGCGUGAACGAGAAGCCCUUCGGGGUGUAAAGUUCUGUCAGUAGGGACGAACAAUGACUGUACCUACAGAGGAAGCACCGGCUAACUCCGUGCCAGCCGCCGC